UAGUACGGCGAGUGAAGAGGGAAGAGCCCAAGAUUGAAAGCUGGCGUCUUCGGCGUCCGCAUUGUAAUCUCAAGAAGUGUUUUCCGCUUCGGACCAUGCCUAAGUCCCUUGGAAAAGGGCAUCAUAGAGGGUGAUAAUCCCGUACAUGGCAUGGAGCGCCCGUAGCUUUGUGAUACGCUUUCUAAGAGUCGAGUUGUUUGGGAAUGCAGCUCAAAAUGGGUGGUAAAUGCCAUCUAAGGCUAAAUAUUGGGGAGAGACCGAUAGCGAACAAGUACAGUGAUGGAAAGAUGAAAAGAACUUUGAAAAGAGAGUUAAACAGUACGUGAAAUUGCCAAAAGGGAAGGGUAGGAGGUCAGAGAUGCGUCUUGGGAUUCAGCCUUGCUUUUGCCUGGUGUUUUUCCCAAGCUGCAGGCCAACGUCGGUUUUGGGCACUGGAGAAGGGUAGGAGGAACGUGGCACCUCUCGGGGUGUGUUAUAGCCUCCUACUGGAUACAGCGACCGAGACCGAGGAACGCAGCGUACUCGUAAGAGCGGGCCUUUUGGCACCUUUACGCUUAGGGCGUUGGCAUAAUGGCCCUCUACCACCCGUCU
rnacentral:rRNA from 1 species